rnacentral:rRNA from 1 species
GCUUAACACAUGCAAGUCGAGCGAGAACCAGCCCUUCGGGGCUGGGGACAGCGGCGAACGGGUGAGUAACACGUGGGUAAUCUGCCCUCGGCACCGGAAUAGCCCGGGGAAACCCGGAUUAAUGCCGGAUGGCCUCUCGAGCUUUCGGGCUCGUGAGAAAAGGUAGCUUUGGCCUCCGGCCGAGGAUGAGCCCGCGGUCGAUUAGCUUGUUGGUGAGGUAAUGGCUCACCAAGGCGACGAUCGAUAGCUGGUCUGAGAGGACGAUCAGCCACACUGGGACUGAGACACGGCCCAGACUCCUACGGGAGGCAGCAGUGGGGAAUAUUGCACAAUGGGCGCAAGCCUGAUGCAGCAACGCCGCGUGCGGGAUGACGGCCUUCGGGUUGUAAACCGCUUUCAGUUCCGACGAAGCGCAAGUGACGGUAGGAACAGAAGAAGGACCGGCCAACUACGUGCCAGCAGCCGCGGUAAUUC